AUCCAACUGACGUGUCCCGAAUAGGAUGAAACACGUGUCAAACUGGAU
rnacentral:hammerhead_ribozyme from 1 species